UGAUGAUAAGGUAUAUUUUAUUGUUGUCACGAUUCUUAUACAUGUUUCAUCUCUCAAACAUACACAUAUAUAUAUGGUCAUCAAAGAGAGAUAACAAGUUCACAGCCAAUGAAACAAAUCCAACCUAUAUAUAUAUAUAAUAAGGCAUGGGUUAAGUUAAAGACCUCUUUCUAGCAUUUUCUCGUAAUUCUCGAUGGAUUCAAGCCUCUGGAUCAAAAGUUGCUUCCUGAAAUUCUUGAUGAAUGCUUCUGCACUUUCAUUUAUGUCCAUGGAUGGCUUGCUCUCUAGCUUUUGUGCUGGUUUAUUAUUCUCUGUAACCGGAGGCCUCACCACAGCUCUAUCUUCCUUAUUGAAACUGGGCGCUUCUUCUUUUGCUUCAAAAGGCGUGGAGUUGUGGUAUUGAGAAAGAAAGGAGCUAUUAUUCUUCAUCAUUGCUUCUUCUCUUUCUCUUAAUCUUCUUGAUUCUUGAAAGCUAGCCUGAUCUCUGUAUAGUUUCUUGAUGAUA
rnacentral:misc_RNA from 1 species